CUUAACAAUCAUUAAAAUAAUACUGAAUUUUAAAUGAGCACAAUUGUGUAUAUUCUCGUGUAUAUAUAAUCGAAUGCUCGAAAAAUUUAUUAAAAACUCUCAAAAAUUCAAUCCAUAGAUUCAGUUGAAAUCAACUAAAUAAGGUUCAAUAAAAAAGAUGUUCAACAAUAUUUCACAUUUAGUUUGCGUUAUGUUGUUAACUGUUUGUGUUCUCGCAUGUUCUGUUUUAGCAUAUCCUUGCAGAGAAGAGGAACCUUGUGAUGAAUGAUGAAACGUAGGGUCAAAUGUGAGAAGUACUUAUUAUCUUUCUGGAAAAUGUUGUUAUAAGAUAUUGAAAGGAUUUGUCCAUUUCUAUUCGUCCGAAUUGUCAUGUAUAAUGGCCUGGUUUCUGUUCAAAAAUAUUGAAUUCAUGGGCAUUUAAAUGUAUUAGGAAA